ACAAGCGACUCGUGGGCGUCAAUACUGGGCUGAGUUUGUGGCGCGCUUAGUGAUGGGAUGGCCCUGUGCAGGACGCCGACACGAAAAGAUGAAGAGUUCAAUCCGUGCUGUCUGAACUCACAGUGUAGCAGGCGAGAUAGACGGGAAGAUCGGUAGGGUGGGAGAUGCCGGAAAGGCUUCCCGUGAGACUGGAUAAGAAAUCAAAAAUCUGGUGAAAUUGCCGGCAAGAGGGAGUUAAGGACAUUCCAGGCAGAGGCAAGUUGGUCCUUGCUGGCUGAUCCAGCUUCCCCGUCAGCAUAUGGUGAGCAGUUCGGUGAGAGGACCACACUUCCAAUACUGGCAGUCCAGAUUCCUAAGAUGAGGACACAGCAUCCUGGGCCACUGUCACUAAUACAAAUUUGCCUCUGGAGGGACUCUACGGAAGAUAAUUCCCCUGAAAUUUGGAGAGUUGAAUUAAGCUAGGACUGAUUCUGGCUGGAAUUUGUGGUGGCUACGUACCCUAGAGGGCCUCAAGGAAACCCACGGUUCAAGACAGCCCUGACAGAUUCUGGAGUCUAGAACAGAAAUGGAUUUGAACAUGGGCAAGGCCAACCACCCAGUUCACGGCCUGUGUACAGCAAAGAUUACGUUACAGCCUGAGAGCUAAGCCUGGAAGCUCUUUCAUCCAUCCGUUUGUCCAUCUAUCCAUCCAUCUGCUCAUCCAUCCCUCCAUCUGCUCAACAAACGUUAGAGAAUCAAUCCUUGUGUCAGAUACUGGGGCUGCCCUCAAGGAGCUUUUAUAGAGUUCAGGGUACAGCCAGGUGGGGGAGACAGAUCACUAUAAAAACCUACCACUAUAAUCCAAAGGACAAGAGCAAAAAUAGUAAAGAGGAGAGAAGACCCAAAUUUGCCUGGUGGGUCAGAGAGGGCUUUCUAGAAGAGGUAAAAAAUCUUCGGGGCUAUCACUUCACCUUGCCUGGUGGAUAAAGGGAGGACUUUCCAGAUACAGUGGACAGAAUGUGCAGAGGCAGGAGCCAUGAGUGGCAGAGGCAGGGGAGGGACUGCAGAGACAGGUUGGAGCCAAAGCACGUGGCACUGGAGCCAUAGCCAAAGGAACAAACUGUGAGACCUGGGACUUGAAUUUGGAGGUGGUGAAAAGUGACAAGGUCUUCACAGAAGAGUGAUUUUUUCAACUUAGGGAAGGCUGA
rnacentral:lncRNA from 1 species